GACGAACGCUGGCGGCGUGCUUAACACAUGCAAGUCGAACGAUGAAGCCGGAGCUUGCUCUGGUGAAUUAGUGGCGAACGGGUGAGUAACACGUGAGUAACCUGCCCUUGACUCUGGGAUAACUGCGGGAAACUGUAGCUAAUACCGGAUACGACCCUCGGAGGCAUCUCCUGGGGGUGGAAAGAAUUUCGGUCAAGGAUGGACUCGCGGCCUAUCAGCUAGUUGGUGAGGUAAAGGCUCACCAAGGCGACGACGGGUAGCCGGCCUGAGAGGGUGACCGGCCACACUGGGACUGAGACACGGCCCAGACUCCGACGGGAGGCAGCAGUGGGGAAUAGUGCACAAUGGGCGCAAGCCUGAUGCAGCAACGCCGCGUGAGGAAUGACGGCCUUCGGGUUGUAAACCUCUUUUAGCAGGGAAGAAGCGAAAGUGACGGUACCUGCAGAAAAAGCACCGGCUAACUACGUGCCAGCAGCCGCCGCGG
rnacentral:rRNA from 1 species